AGAAGUCGGGGAGACAGUCGCGGGUCUCCCAACCUCCGGUUGGGAGGUUCGAGGAAAGUCCGAGCUCCACAGGGCAGGGUGCUGGUUAACGACCAGGGGGAGUGAUCCCACGGAAAGUGCCACAGAAAAGAUACCGCCGGGCAUUUCCGGCAAGGGUGAAAUGGUGAGGUAAGAGCUCACCGCGCCUCCGGUGACGGAGGUGGCAGGGUAAACCCCACCCGGAGCAAGACCAAAUAGGGGAGGAUGAGGUGGCCCGCCUCGUUCGCACUCCCGGGUAGGUCGCUCGAGGCCGUCGGCAACGCCGGUCCCAGAUACAUGACUGUCACCGUUUCGGCGGUAACAGAACUCGGCUUACGACCGGCUUCUCACG
rnacentral:RNase_P_RNA from 1 species